rnacentral:rRNA from 1 species
CACCGCGGUUAUACGAGAGACCCAAAUUGAUAGUACUCGGCAUAAAGUGUGGUUAAGAACAUGAACAAAUAAAGCCGAAUUUUUUCAAGGCUGUUAUACGCAACCGAAAAACAGAAGACCAAUAACGAAAGUAGCUUUAACCAAUCUGAGCCCACGAAAGCCAGGAAA